AGGGAUGAAGGUCAAAUUUGUUGGCAGGGAGAUCAUGACCAUAGUGGGUGAUUAAUCAUUGGAGAUCCAGAGGCUAAAGCGCUGGGUUCAGGUGCUGGCUGACCCUGUCAAAGAAUGAAUUGAGGGAUGGGGUGUUUUGAUAAUUUUCUAGAGGGUUCAUUCAUAUGCAACAAAGCCCAGUGGCUGCACGAGAGGAGUUAUUAAGUGCAAAUUGAUAUUGGUUCAAGGACAAUGUGAAGGGUUAAUAUGCUUUAGAUGAAGUACUGAGGAAUGGUUAUGAUUUAAGCAAAUAUUAUCUACACGGAGUGGAAUCGCAGUACAGGAUUCAUGUGGGUUUACCAAUAGCUAGAAUACUCUGAUGUGAUCUUUAUACUAUUAUUAAGUUAUAUAGCCUUGUAUGUCGAGACAAGUCCACUACCAUUAUUGAUUGCUGGUUCUGUAAUCCGGACUCCCAAGUGUAAGAGUCUAAGGAACCUGAGUUCUGCAAUUUUCUGAGGCUUAUUUGGGCUAAUUUGUAAUAUUUGAUUAGUGCUUAUUUGCAUAAACCAUGUUGCUUACUCUCUCUUGAUUCUGAUGUGUGGUUGUUACUCUUCUUUUCUUUGAGUUGUA